ensembl:lncRNA
CCUCUGCAUGACAGAAGAGGACUUGUUAACAUUACUGAGAGCUGCUUUAACUACCGGUAUGGAUACUGCUGUUACUGACCAACUGUGAGCUAUAUUAUCAUAGCUUAUGCUUGUUUGUGAAUUUAAUGAACACAAAAGCAUUAUCAAGAGAUGAGCAACAGUUACCAAGGAACAAGAGCAAGAGGUCAACACUUAAUGUGGACUAACCGACUCAAACCUCGUAGGACUAGGAUGCAUUUCAUAUGCCUGACUUCUCUGCAGCAAACAGUUUGCAGUGAGCAAUACAGCACAGACCUUCUACCAGCAGGGACUGGCCACAACUGAGGAGCUUCAAAGACAAC